rnacentral:rRNA from 1 species
UACGUAGGGGGCAAGCGUUGUCCGGAUUUAUUGGGCGUAAAGAGCGUGUAGGCGGCCAGACAGGUCUGCUGUGAAAACUCGAGGCUCAACCUCGAGACGCCGGUGGAAACCGUUUGGCUAGAGUCCGGAAGAGGAGAGUGGAAUUCCUGGUGUAGCGGUGAAAUGCGCAGAUAUCAGGAGGAACACCAGCGGCGAAGGCGGCGCUCUGGGCCGGUACUGACACUGAGGAGCGAAAGCGUGGGUAGCAAACAGG